rnacentral:rRNA from 1 species
GACGAACGCUGGCGGCGUGCUUAACACAUGCAAGUCGAACGGAAAGGCCCUGCUUUUGUGGGGUGCUCGUGUGGCGAACGGGUGAGUAACACGUGAGUAACCUGCCCUUGACUUUGGGAUAACUUCAGGAAACUGGGGCUAAUACCGGAUAGGAGCUCCUGCUGCAUGGUGGGGGUUGGAAAGUUUCGGCGGUUGGGGAUGGACUCGCGGCUUAUCAGCUUGUUGGUGGGGUAGUGGCUUACCAAGGCUUUGACGGGUAGCCGGCCUGAGAGGGUGACCGGCACAUUGGGACUGAGAUACGGCCCAGACUCCUACGGGAGGCAGCAGUGGGGAAUAUUGCACAAUGGGCGGAAGCCUGAUGCAGCAACGCCGCGUGCGGGAUGACGGCCUUCGGGUUGUAAACCGCUUUCGCCUGUGACGAAGCGUGAGUGACGGUAAUGGGUAAAGAAGCACCGGCUAACUACGUG